rnacentral:lncRNA from 1 species
UGGAGUCUACCAAAAUUCAGAGACGGCAAGGCACUUUGGGAUGCACUACAGGCGAAGUAUUUUAACUGAUGAUGCUUACAAGUAAGAAAUUUCUGGUUAGUUCAAUUCAGAACUAUCGCCAAUGAUUGAUAUAAACCUGCAUAGAGAAGCAUUACAUGAGAUAAAACAUAUUCUCAAUCAGUUUAAAAUCAAAAAUAGAAUAUGGAUGAGACCAUUGUUGUAUCUUCUGUAAUUGCUAAACUUCCCCAUUCAUGGAAAGACUAUAAAAAAAGGAAACUCAACAUAAAACUAAGGAAGGAAACUACUCUUGAACAAUUGGCCCAAUACUGUCGGUGGUGGAAGAGGAGAGAUAGACAUCAUGGAGAGUAGAAUGAUUCCUCUAAAGUUCAUGUGGGGAAGGAGAAGGUUCUGGUUUCCAACAAGCAACAUCGGAAAGCGUAAGUUCCAAAUUCCAUAUGGUCUUGGAAAAGGGAAAAAGUUAUGAUCCAAAGUUGCAGGUUUGCUGGAAUUGUGGCAAACCUGGGCAUAUCAAGAGAGAUUGUCGUGAGCCCUAAAAAGGCAAAAUUAUUAGUGUAAAACCUGGGGCACAGAGGCAAAGAAUUCUAAAUUCGUUGCUGUUAGUUCCGGAUAAUGUUCUCGAAGAUGCUGGAGAGUGGUGGAUUUCGACUAGGUGCGACAAGGAUUGUGCAAUAACAAGAAGUUUUCUGAAUAUGAUUCAGUUGAAGAUUGCACUGUUCUCGACAUGAGAAAUUCAUCAAUGCGAUUGUGAAGGGGAAAAGGCCAAAGGGAUUUGAAAUUUUUUCUGGCCAAGAGACUGACGCUUACUGAUGUGUUGUAUCAUGUACAGACGUUAGAAAAAAUCUUUGUAUCUGGAAGCCGGCUUAUAAGCAUGGUUUCAAGUUAGUGUUUGAGUCAGCAAGGUUAUUCUGUCAAAGUGGUAUGUGUUGGAAAAGGAUACAUGUAUGAGGGAAUGUUCAAAAUGAAUAUUAAUAAAUUAUUUCUGCUUAUUGCUGACUCUCUGUCUUCGACCUUACUAGAUUAGGUCAUAUCAGUACUAGGAAAUGAAUUUAUGGUUAAAUUAAAUUUAAUUCCUAAGUAUGAGAUUGACAUGUAGAUUAAAAUGCUAAAAUUUGCAUGAAACUAAAAAUACAUAGAAUUGCCAUUUCUAAAAUGGAAAGAAUAUCAUCUUUACUGAAAUAAUACACAGUGAUGUAUGUGAUUUUCAUAGUACCCCUACUAGAGGAGAAAGAAAAUAUUUUACCAUAUUCAUUAGAUGAUUAUUCAAAAUUCUGCCUAUGUUUUAUUAUUACAUUCAAAAAGACGAGAUUUUUGAAAAAUUAAAAUAUAUAAAGCAGAAGAGAAGUUGAAUCAAUGGGGAACUAAGAUUAAAUGUCUUAGAUCUGACAGAGGUGGUGGAAUAUUAUUUUCCUGAUGAUUUUGAAAUAUGGUGAAUUAAUUUAUGAAAUAACUGCAACCAAUAUACUCGCAACCAAAAUAGGUGCCUGCAAAGAGAAAAAAAAAAAAAAAAAAGGACUUUAACUGAGAUGGUAAUUACAUGUUAAGUAAUGCUGGAUUAGGUAUGAUUGUGAGGGCGAGGCGCCAGCCAUACUUACGCUACUCUAUCUGUAAAUAGGAGACCUCUCAAAAAGUCUAAUAUUACCCAAUGAGUUUUGGUUUUUUAAGAAGGAAACCAAAUCUAAUUAUUUUAAAACUUGGGGAUGCGAGCAAUUGGUUAGAGUUUGCAGAACCUAAAAGAAGAAAUUGGGUUGAUGAAAAAAGAAUUGAAUGUUAUUCUUGGAUAUACUUUACAUAGUAAGGCAUAUUAGGUUUCUAGUGCUGAAAAAAAGGGGGGCCUAAUGGAUUGCGUGUAUCUAUUAAUUACCCAUCAUUGAAUCUCGAGAUGUAAGAUUUUAUGAAAAAGACGUUUGACAGAAUUCCAAGGGGUAAAGUCAAGUAAAGACUUGGAGUCUAAUAAAGACUUGGAUCCAUUAUACUUUAUGUCGGAGAGGGACAAUGAGCAUUUACAAGAUCUUAAAUGAGGGAUAAUGAACCUUGUGGAGCAUGUUUGAAAUAAGAAGGAGCAAACGAGCUCAAAAAAGAGAAAAAAGUUUGGGCCGGAUUUUAUAGUUUAUCUGUGUUGAAAGUCUAGAAAAACACAUGUUCUCAUAGUGUGGUUUCAACUACAUGUGGAAACAGAUCGAUUAAAUUUGAGACCGCCAUGAAGUCUAACGAUUUGCUUUUGGAAGGACGCUAUACAAGAUGAAAUGUGAUUCUAUUGUGGGAAACAAUACAUGGUUAUGGCUGAUGUACUCCUGGUUCUAAACCAAGUGGUUGUAAAUGGAUUUUCAAGAAGAAAAUGAAAGUUGAUUGGACCUAUGUAAGUUCAAGGUCAGAUUAGUUGCAAAAGAUUACCACAAAAAAGGGGUAUCGAUUAUUUCGAUAAGCAUGCUCGGUUGCUAAAUCUCAACAAUUAGAGUUUAGUACUCUGCCUCACUAUAUA